ACGUCAAGUCCUCAUGGCCCUUACGCGCUGGGCUACACACGUGCUACAAUGGCGGUGACAGUGGGCAGCAAUCCCGCGAGGGUGAGCUAAUCUCCAAAAGCCGUCUCAGUUCGGAUUGUUCUCUGCAACUCGAGAGCAUGAAGGCGGAAUCGCUAGUAAUCGCGGAUCAGCAUGCCGCGGUGAAUACGUUCCCAGGCCUUGUACACACCG
rnacentral:rRNA from 1 species